rnacentral:rRNA from 1 species
CCAGACUCCUACGGGAGGCAGCAGUGGGGGAUAUUGGACAAUGGGGGGAACCCUGAUCCAGCGACGCCGCGUGAGUGAAGAAGUAUCUCGGUAUGUAAAGCUCUAUCAGCAGGGAAGAAAGAAAUGACGGUACCUGAGUAAGAAGCCCCGGCUAACUACGUGCCAGCAGCCGCGGUAAUACGUAGGCGCAAGCGUUAUCCGGAUUUACUGGGUGUAAAGGGAGCGUAGACGGCAGUGCAAGUCUGAAGUGAAAGCCCCGGGCUUAACCCGGGAAUUGCUUUGGAAACUGUACGGCUGGAGUGCUGGAGAGGUAAGCGGAAUUCCUAGUGUAGCGGUGAAAUGCGUAGAUAUUAGGAGGAACACCAGUGGCGAAGGCGGCUUACUGGACAGUAACUGACGUUGAGGCUCGAAAGCGUGGGGAGCAAACAGGAUUAGAUACCCCAGUAGA